GACGAACGCUGGCGGCGUGCUUAACACAUGCAAGUCGAACGGAAAGGCCCUGCUUUUGUGGGGUGCUCGAGUGGCGAACGGGUGAGUAACACGUGAGUAACCUGCCCUUGACUGUGGGAUAACUUCAGGAAACUGGGGCUAAUACCGGAUAGGAGCUCCUGCUGCAUGGUGGGGGUUGGAAAGUUUCGGCGUUUGGGGAUGGACUCGCGGCUUAUCAGCUUGUUGGUGGGGUAGUGGCUUACCAAGGCUUUGACGGGUAGCCGGCCUGAGAGGGUGACCGGCCACAUUGGGACUGAGAUACGGCCCAGACUCCUACGGGAGGCAGCAGUGGGGAAUAUUGCACAAUGGGCGGAAGCCUGAUGCAGCAACGCCGCGUGCGGGAUGACGGCCUUCGGGUUGUAAACCGCUUUCGCCUGUGACGAAGCGUGAGUGACGGUAAUGGGUAAAGAAGCACCGGCUAACUACGUG
rnacentral:rRNA from 1 species